AUACUUAACUGGUGCUGGGCAAGCGGCGAUCAAUGGAACCGCGGCCCCGUGUGGAGGCCGUCCAUUGCACUGCGGUCGGUUGAAGCGCGCCACUUUUCCAAAUCGGGGUAGCUGGAGCAUUCAAUUUUUCGUAGUGGGGCGUGGCGUUCGUGCCAGCGCCUG